UACGUAGGCAGCAAGCGUUGUUCGGAAUCACUGGGCGUAAAGGGCGUGUAGGCGGGUAGAUAAGUCGGGCGUGAAAUCCCUAGGCUCAACCUAGGAACUGCACUCGAAACUGUUUUAUCUUGAGUGCCGGAGAGGAAAGCGGAAUUCCUGGUGUAGAGGUGAAAUUCGUAGAUAUUGGGGAGGAACACCAGUGGCGAAGGC
rnacentral:rRNA from 1 species